rnacentral:misc_RNA from 1 species
UCAGCAACCCACCUGCCUGAAGGUCUUUGCCUGACACCAACAAAUCGCUUCCUAGCUCUCCUGACUCCUCCUAGUGCAGCAGCCUCAGCAGCUUCCUUGACCAUUUCAUCCCAAGCCAUGGUUCCUUCACUAGAGUUUUUGUCUUCCACAAUUUCACUAACCUUUCUCUUCCUACCCAUAUCUUCCUUUCAAGUUAUUUAGUGUUGUCUUUUGGGUUACAAGAUUCGUAAGGAAAUAAUAAUAGUUGGUGGUUUAGUUGUUAUGGUUGGCCUGGACUCUGGUAUAUUUAUAUGAAGGGAAUAGAGAUCCUGCCAAACGAGAAAGGAGAGGUGAAAGAG